rnacentral:lncRNA from 1 species
CCGCACGGGAUCCACGGUCUGCUAUCCCCCAUUUGCGCCACACGGGUAACCUCUAACAAGCUAGAAAAGUUACUCAUACUUGACUAAAGCCAGAGCCAUUAUAGCCCUUAUGGUUGCACUUUCAUCCCUGUUAUCACUUAUGAAUAAAUCCUCAAGUUGUUAAAAAGUCAUUAUUAUCAUUUGUUGCUUUAUAUCAAUCUAGUCACAAGAUCAUGGUCAUAGAAUUAAAACCCAAAUGCUAUACUUGCCUUGAUCCAAUUGCUCCUGCUGGUCCUGUUGAUCUUACUUGCUUCCAAGACUCUGAUCUUGAUCACCGAAGUAAUGCCCACUGUCUAAUCUCGAUCAUCGAUUAUCAAUCACACAAACAAUCGGAGACAGACAUACACGAAGCAGACAAUAUUACAAUUAGAACAGUACACCAGCAGUAAAUAAAUGUAAAUAAAAGUUUUCCAAAAUUAUCUACACGCUGCUACGAUCACGUCAACGGGAAAUUCAUGGAAAACGGAGCUACGACGCGAAAGUUACGCUUUUAACGGGAUUUCAAUAGGCGUUUACGGACUUGUAAUUAUCUAGGAAAUGUAACAGUGGUGAACCUAGACAACAAUGGUACCAACGCGAAGCUUAUGAAAUUAUAAAACUAACGCAACUUGAACGGAUCGAAACGGAGCUAAAACGGAGAAGAUAUAAAUUUUCUAAGAUUUUAUAUAGAAAAGUAAUUAAUUAAAUAGGGUCACAAAAUUAAAAUGUUUCAAAAGAGAAAACCGUAUUACUAACAUGUAUAUCUUUCAAAUACGAACUUAACGCAAUUUGAAUGGGUCAAAUCGGAGUUAAAAUGAAUAUUUUAUAGCCAAAAUAAGUUCAGUGGCAAUUUAGUAAAUACUGAAAACGUAUUUUGAAGCAAGCCGCGAUAGUUUACGUUUUCAACACAGCCAGGCGUAUUUAUUUAUUUUUUUCGAAUGCGCCAGGGACCGCGGGUUCUAUAUUUAAAAAGUUGAGGGGCUCUUUAACAAAAUUUCAGGCCGAAAGGGUAUUGGCCAUCUUGAGCCGUUGGAUCUCAGAUGAACGCGCAGGAUUAAAACAAAAGAAAAAAAAAAGAAAAAAACAAAAAGAAGAGAGAGGGAGGGGGUGGUGCCUGCUGCCGGAAGUGGGCAAGAACGCGUCGGCCACCAUGGCCGGCCGACUGAGGGCUCGCCGGAGCAAGCGGAUGGGAAGCUACGGUGCACGGUUUUUGAUUCCGAAAGCACUGGGAGAGAGAGGAGAGCGAUGCGAGUCCGUUCCUAGCCAUAAACACGGUCGGGGAGGUGGUUUCCGCGGAGGUUCACGGCGGCACCAUGAACGGCCCGUCGGAGCUCGUGGAGCUGGGACUCCAGGCCACGAUUGACCAAACCGAGUGCACACGGAGGAAGAGGGCGGCAAGGCGAACUCGCCGGGACACUAGGCGCGGCCAGGGAAGGUCCCGAGCGGCACACGCCACGGCCGACGGCCAUGGAGCUCGCCAGAGCUCUGUGGUCGGCACGGAGGAGUGCUCCGUUUCGCGAGAGAAAUAGACGGGGAGGAUGCGGGAGAGGAGGGGAGCUCACCAGCGCGAAGAACGGAGGCGAAGAAGGCUCGAAUCGGCGAGUUGAAUGCGGCAAAAGUCACGGCGUUCUCCGACGGCGUUCCCUGCGGUUGCAGCGCAUUCCAAGACAGAGCGAGAGAGGGAAUAGGGGCGAAAUGCAAGCGGGGAGGGGGCUCGGGUGCGGGUGCUGCUCAAAAGGGGCGAGGAGUGCGAAUCGUGGGGAGCGGCUCGGGCGCGUGCGGUUGCCAUCAGCACUGCGAUAGGAGAAGGAGAGCAGUUGGAGGGAGGGGAUGGAUCUGACGGGUGGGUCCCGCAUGGUAGUG